rnacentral:lncRNA from 1 species
CUUAUCCAGCCAUCUUCCAUUCCCCUGUUUUGGAUUAAUCUCUUCCGAAAUCAAUCCCAGCCAUUCCGUCGUCCACAACCUCUUCCUCCGAAAUCUUCUCAAACGCUCACAGGAUGAAUUCAAAUCCCGCUCUCAUCCCGCUCGGACAAAACAACUGAUUCAUCCUUAUCCCACGAGCUUCAUCUCAACUGUCAGCCGAGAUCCUUUCCCAAUAUCCCACGGGAUAUGCUCCAAACCCAGCGAAUCAAAUCAAGCAACAAAUCUCCC